CAGUCGCCACGGUAAUACGAAGGGGGCUAGCGUUGUCCGGAAUUAUUGGGCGUAAAGGGCUCGCAGGCGGUUUCUUAAGUCUGAUGUGAAAGCCCCCGGCUCAACCGGGGAGGGUCAUUGGAAACUGGGAAACUUGAGUGCAGAAGAGGAGAGUGGAAUUCCACGUGUAGCGGUGAAAUGCGUAGAGAUGUGGAGGAACACCAGUGGCGAAGGCGACUCUCUGGUCUGUAACUGACGCUGAGGAGCGAAAGCGUGGGGAGCGAACAGGAUUAGAUACCCCGGUAGUCCCUGUCUCUUAUAC
rnacentral:rRNA from 1 species